rnacentral:rRNA from 1 species
UACGUAGGGUGCGAGCGUUAAUCGGAAUUACUGGGCGUAAAGCGUGCGCAGGCGGUUUGUUAAGACAGAUGUGAAAUCCCCGGGCUUAACCUGGGAACUGCAUUUGUGACUGGCAAGCUAGAGUAUGGCAGAGGGGGUAGAAUUCCACGUGUAGCAGUGAAAUGCGUAGAGAUGUGGAGGAAUACCGAUGGCGAAGGCAGCCCCCUGGGCCAAUACUGACGCUCAUGGCACGAAAGCGUGGGGAGCAAA